GGGGUGCGGGGUUCCGCACGGACUGUUUUUGUUGUUGCGCUUUUCUGUUACCCAAAAGAAAUCACAACCAUUGUAGACCAGAUGAUGGCGCCAUUUGUCAACUUGGGUUUAAAACAAAGUUUGAACUCUCUCGUAUGCCAAAAGAAAAUAGUUCCUUUCAUAAUGAAUUAUUUUUAAACUAAAUCUAUGUUUUUUGGAGUACAUAAAUGGUACCAACCAUCCAUUUUCCGAGCCGCUUAAACUCACAAGGGUCGCAGGAGCGCUGAAAGCCUAACCCAUCGAUCUUCUACUCCCAGAACGGAUUCUCCUCCAAUCGCGGAUGAUGACAGAUGUUUGAUCCAGUUCACAUGACUGAGUGGUGAGUAAUCACUUCAUACCAUGCGGGCAGCCAUUGAAGAAAAAGAAAUGGAUUACGCAAGAUCCUCUCCGUGGGGCCAUGUGACAUUGAGAUACUGCACAUCACAUUCCGUGUGGCUUUAAUGCGAUGCUUGUGAUUGUCUGCUACAGUUAUAAGCGGACGGAAAUUUUAUUAUAUUCGCUUGCUGGCUCGAAAUGGAUGAAUGAAGGUAUUGAUUGCGUUUAGAGAUGACCUAUGACAUAAGAGGGGUAAAUUCACAGUUUCCACACUUACGCAAAUAGUUUAAUUAUUGUGUCUUGUUU